AUUGAACGCUGGCGGCGUGCUUAACACAUGCAAGUCGAUCGGUAACAGGUGUAGCAAUACAUGCUGACGAGAGGCGGACGGGUGAGGAAUAUUUGGGAAUCUGCCCAUCAGCGGGGGACAACCCGGGGAAACCCGGGCUAAUACCGCAUACGCUCUACGGAGGAAAGCCGGGGACCGCAAGGACUGGCACUGAUGGAUGAGCCCAAAUCGGAUGAGCUAGUUGGCGGGGUAACGGCCCACCAAGGCGACGAUCCGUAGCUGGUCUGAGAGGACGAUCAGCCACACCGGAACUGGGACACGGUCCGGACUCCUACGGGAGGCAGCAGUGGGGAAUAUUGGACAAUGGGGAAACCCUGAUCCAGCGACGCCGCGUGGGUGAAGAAGGCCUGCGGGUUGUAAAGCCCUUUCGGUAGGGACGAAAGCUCUUGCUCUAAUAAUGCAAGAGGUUGACUUAACCUACAUAAGAAGCACCGGCUAACUCUGUGCCAGCCGCCGCAGUAA
rnacentral:rRNA from 1 species